rnacentral:misc_RNA from 1 species
UCUUACCGUUAGUAAGCAGUCUCUUUAAAUACACAACAUUAAGCUAUGCAUAAUUAAAGAUAGGAGUUUCGUCCGUUUAAGGAAUUAACCUAACAUUUCACAACACGAACUGACGACAGCCCAUGCAGCACCUGUUCGAAGGCCCUCCAAUAAAAUAGCUUUAUUGAAUUACAAUUAAAAUAACUAACAGUAUUUUAAUCACCUUCGCUGUCAAGAACUGGUAAGAUUUCCCCGCGGUAUAUCAGAUUAAACCACAUGUUCCACCACUUGUGCGAGUCUCAGUCAAUUUCUUUGAAUUUUAAUCUUGCGAUCGUACUACUCAGGCGGAGUGUUUACGCGUUAACUUAAACAUCAGGUUCUAAGCCUAUAAAAGUUCCCUUUUUAAGACCCCAACAUUCAA